AUUGAACGCUGGCGGCAGGCCUAACACAUGCAAGUCGAGCGGGGUUUUCGGACCUAGCGGCGGACGGGUGAGUAAUGCGUAGGAAGCUACCCGAUAGAGGGGGAUACCAGCUGGAAACGACUGUUAAUACCGCAUAAUGUCUACGGACCAAAGUGUGGGACCUUCGGGCCACAUGCUAUCGGAUGCGCCUACGUGGGAUUAGCUAGUUGGUGAGGUAAUGGCUCGCCAAGGCGACGAUCCCUAGCUGGUUUGAGAGGAUGAUCAGCCACACUGGAACGGAGACACGGUCCAGACUCCUACGGGAGGCAGCAGUGGGGAAUAUCGGACAAUGGGCGCAAGCCUGAUCCAGCCAUGCCGCGUGUGUGAAGAAGGCCUUCGGGUUGUAAAGCACUUUCAGUAGGGAGGAAGCGUUGUGUGUUAAUAGUACACAGCGUUGACGUUACCUACAGAAGAAGCACCGGCUAACUCUGUGCCAGCAGCCGCCGUAAGAC
rnacentral:rRNA from 1 species